GGGAAGGUGGCUUAAUGGUAGAGUGCUUGCCUAACAUGCAUGAAGCCCUGGGUUCGAUUCCUCAUUACCA
rnacentral:tRNA from 1 species